UCCUGAUGAACACUUGAUGACGAGUCUUAUUCGGCUUCGCCGGUGCAGACAAUCAAUUUAUUUAACCAUUCAUGCCAAUCUGACA
rfam:Rachicladosporium antarcticum strain CCFEE 5527 scaffold_7, whole genome shotgun sequence.